rnacentral:rRNA from 1 species
GACGAACGCUGGCGGCGUGCUUAACACAUGCAAGUCGAACGGAAAGGCCCUGCUUUUGUGUGGUGCUCGAGUGGCGAACGUGUGAGUAACACGUGAGUAACCUUCCCUUUACUUUGGGAUAACUUCAGGAAACUGGGGCUAAUACCUGAUAGGAGCUCCUGCUGCAUGGUGGGGGUUGGAAAGUUUCGGCGGUUGGGGAUGGACUCGCGGCUUAUCAGCUUGUUGGUGGGGUAGUGGCUUACCAAGGCUUUGACGGGUAGCCGGCCUGAGAGGGUGACCGGCCACAUUGGGACUGAGAUACGGCCCAGACGCCUAAGGGAGGCAGCAGGGGGGAAUAUGGAACAAUGGGCGGAAGCCUGAUGAAGAAACGCCGCGUGCGGGAUGAAGGCCUUCGGGUUGUAAACCGCUGUAGCCUGUGACGAAGCGUGAGUGACGGUAAUGGGUAAAGAAGCACCGGCUAACUACGUG